CCAAACUACUUCUUAAUGUGAUACUAAUUCUACUUUUAUUCAUUUUUUAUGUAAUGUAAAGAAUAGAAAGUAAAUUACGUUAUAAAGAGAUUAAUUUUUCCAUUUCAAAACAUAAGAAGAAUUUGUGUAGGAUGUGGUUUUAAUGUCAUUAACAUUCAUUAUGAGUUAUACAAAUUAAUUCUUCACUUUGAAAUUUCUCUUUGGCAAAUUCUAUAUAAACAUGACCUUUGUGAUCAUUACCAGACACCCAAUAAACGGGAAAACUAAACAUUUUCCUCCUCUAUUCUUAUUCUUAGAAUAUUUUGGGCGAUUGGUUUUGAGCAACGUCCAAACUCUCAGCUACAAGUGCACGUGUUUGAGAGUGAAUGUGGAACCUUGGGAAGCGACCGGCUACAACGAUUUACACCGGAGUCGAGCCAAAAUCUCUAUCAAGGCAGUGGCUUGCCACGACAAAACAGUGAAAGAAUAAUGGAACAAGUUCAUGAAUAUGAGAACUUGACUGCUGAUGUUCUUAACGAGGACAUGAAAAUAUGUGAGAUAUUUCAAGCUAAUGUUCUGCAUCAAAAAAUUUCCACAAUCUUGGAGUGAUUAUAGAAAUCAAUUAAAACAUAAGAAAAAGAAUUAUCUCUCCAAAAACUUAUUAAUCACAUGAGGAUUGAAGAGGCCGUCUCAAAGAUAAGAUGGAAGAACUUUCUCUUAAUUCUUCUAAAGCUUAUCUUGUUGAAUCUUCUAGUUCUGUUUUGAAAAAUAGGUUCAAAGGCAAACUAAAGAAACUCUUGAAAAAGGACAUAUGAAGAACAAGAAUCAAUUCAACAAGCCGGAGAGUCAAAUUCAAAAAUUUAAGGCCCCUUGUCUUGUUUGUGGAAAAGUUGGUCAAGGCUGCCAGGUGCUAUCAAAGAAAAGGGAAGGACUCAAAGCAGGUUGAACAAAGUGGUGUCCAAGCUAGUCUUGCUGAGGGUAAUGAAGUGAUUGUUAUUGUAGCCGAUGUGGCAAAUCUGGUGGCAAACAAAACUAACUAGGUGCUAGAGACAGGCGCCUCAAGGCAUUUUUGUGCCAAUAAAAAGUUAUUUCAUGAUUUUAAGGAGUCCACUGAUGAAGAGUGUAUUUACAUGGGUAACUCACUACUGUUGGAGUUAUGGGUAAAGAAAAAGUUUUAUUUAAAUUAACUUUUGGAAAGAUAUUAUCCUUCAACAAUGUUUUGUAUGUUUCCUCCCUUAGUUGAAACUUAGUUCCUAGAGCACUUCUCAAAAAAGUAGGCCUUACACUUAUUUCUGAAGCUGAUAAAAUAAUUAUUUCUCACGGAGAAGACUUUGUUGGGAAAGGAUAUCUUAGUGGAGGAUUAUUUGUAUUGAACAUUGUUCAAGUCAAUAAUGCAAAUAUUUCAAAUUCUGCUUAUUUAA